ensembl:lncRNA
UAAUAUGCAGACAAGUUUGACAAGCAGUUUUCUAGACUGAACAAGUCAGUGGUAGCUUGAUGGCUCCUCCAGACACUGUGGUUCUCAAUGACUGCUCCCUGGACCAGCAUCAGCAUCACAGGGGAACUGUUUAGAGAUGCGAUUCUCAUGCUGCACCUCAGACCCACCGAAUCAGCAAUGCUGGGGGUGGGGUGGAGCGAUCUGUGUUGUAACAAGCCCUCUAGAUGACUCGGAUGCACCCUAAAUUCAGAGAAUCACGCUGCGUCACCACUGCUGUUACUUGAGGGUCCUGCCUUCCCUCCUCCUGGAGAGCAGCCAGAGCAAGAAGCAAGGGCUUCAAUCCUCUGAACGCUGGGCUAUGCCACGUCCCCAGUUUCCAGAUAAGCGAUGCCAGAAGUCUUGGGGUGACUGAGUUUUUAUAUAAUCUGUGGAGCUUUUGUUGGCUGGAAACUGGGAGCAUUGAGUUGGGAGAGCCAGUUGUGGGUUGCAGUGCCAUCAGAGCACGGCAGAGGGCACGGGAGGGAAGGCAGGUAGUGCCAGGCAGCCGUGGCCCCUGUUGUCUGGGAUGUGAAGUCCGAGAGGGGACAGGAGGGAAGGUGAGUGUCCUUCUCAGCAGGGAGAGGCCAGGAGGGCCUCGGCCUGGGUGUUUUCCUUGGACCCUGGGCCCUUUCAAGUUUGCCGUAACCACGGGUGACAUCUGCCUUCCUGGUUUGGGGCCUGCGUUUUGCUGGUCUGUCAAACCUGAAAGACAGCCUGCCUGGUCACGUCAGGCCUGGGGUAACACGCCCUCAGCAGCUGGCUGAGAGCGGCGCUGGAGAGCAGCUCCCACGAGGAAGGAGGCACCCACUGACCCAGGACUCCACCGCUCACCUGCACACACCUGCAGACUCUGAUUCAGUUCAGCCGCCUAGACACCCAGCCCGCCCCGUGAGGACGCGGAACCUGCCCUCCUGUCGGCGGGUCGUGCAUGAGUCCCGGAGAGGCGAGCAGGGACACUUCUCCACCAUGUGCGGACUGCCGUGUGGACGAGCGAAUGCAGCUGGGAUGCUGAGGACGGGAGGAGUCAUUCUGGAUGCAGGGGGUGGGACGUGGGGGAGGUGGUAGGAGAUGGAGUUUGGAGGAAAAACAGGAUGUUGGCAGGCAGCAGGCUGGGCAGCAGGCUUUCAGGGGCAUGCGAUUGUGGAGCUGGGCUGGCGUGAGGUCUUUUUAGGCUGAGCUUGAGGACCUUGAACUUGAUCACGCUGAGCUGUGGUUGGCAAACUGAGCUGGUCGCCGGAAUUCCCGGGGGAGCUUCCAGACAAAUUCCCGGGCCCCACCUCCAGAGGUUUGGGUCAGGUCUGAGUGGGCCUAUGACAUGUGCUCUCCAGGGAGCAGGAAGGGACAGAGGCAAGGAAAAGCAAGGAGUAAAACUAACAGGCAAGAAAUCCUCUGAGGGAAGACGAGAUUGGUCAAAGCCGAAGGACAGGUGCUAACAGUGAGUAUCGACUGCAAACCAGCAAAGUGCCAAAGGACCUUCAAGGAGAGCAAAUCAAUGGGCCAGAAGUGAUAAUUUUCUAGAAGUUCUGGGAGGAAGCACGAGCUUCUGAAGCACAGCCGUUCACCGCCUUGCACCCGGUCUGUGGCCCUUUGUUAUGGCAGCCCUAGUGAACUGACACAGCUCCCUCCCUGAAUCGGACUGGCCUGUGCUUACGGAGAUGGCAUUAUGACCCAGGCCACAUCAUAAAGGCUAUAGACCUUCCAUUGGGUCUCUUGGGAGACUGGUCAGCCACGCUGUGAAGAAGCCCCGGUCAUCUGAAAAGGUCACAUGCUGGUGUUCCAGCCCACAAUCCCAGGUGAUGGCUAAAAUUGAGGCGGUUAAACACGUAAAGACAACUCCAGAUGAUUCCUGUCUCCAGCCCUGGGUCACCCCAGCUUCAAAUUUGAGUCCCCAGAUAUUGUGGUGCAGAGAUGUAUCAACCUGUCUGUCCCUUGGGAAUUCCUGACUCACAGGAGUUGUGAGCCUAAGAAAAUGAUUGUUUUAAGCUGCUAAAUUUGGGGGUAAUUUGUUAUAUAGUAGCUGGCAACGAGUCUUUAAGAUUAUCUUUGUUCACAAAAUUUUAUCUGAUAUGGCUGGUGUUUUUGUUGAAACCAUGGGGUCCCUUAGCUCCUAGACAGUGGUCACCACUUCUCUUGGCCCUUUGUGACAUCAGGCUCAAACGUUCAUGAAGAACAACAGGUGACCCUGCCACGAGUCAAUUUAACGGACCGCUAGUGAAAGAGUUUCAGACAAACUGAACGGGACGGAGAGCAGUGGUUCAGGAGGGCGGACAGGAUUUUCAGAACAAUUUCCAAAGACGGUUAAGCGUUCAUUAGCAGGGUUAGCGCCAUUUGCCUGGAUCAGGGGAGGAAUCAUGUAGCCCCGUAGGCAGUACUUUUCUCAUUUGGGGCACAG